CUGCAUGACAUCAGCAGCCCGGGACUGCAAAAACAUACUUACUCUAUUCGCUUUAAAACGGGAAACCUGUACCAUCUCAUGUUCGUGAAAACAACCGUUGAAAGACGUGAAGAAUAAAUGUGUCUCAACCAGCAGCACUCCACAGCGCACUAGACGAAGAAGGAACUACCUUUUGGGAGUCAUCCCUGAAUGGAUAACAGUUUGAGUUACAGUUGAAUUCUGAGAGUACCUUAUUAUUGACAGUGUAAAAAAAGUUUGGCUGCUGUUGAAGAAAAUCAACUGACAACCUAAUUCUUUGGGUGCAACUUAGACCAAUAACACACACACAGUGUUUCUGAGUCUUAAUAACGACGUCAGACUCCAGGCUAGCGGACACUCUAAGGGAAGCCAUCUGUUUUCCAAUAACCUAGUGGACACACUGUUUUUGGAAGAAUGACUGAGUCUACCGCUGACCUUGGGUAGUCAAUGUCCUCUGGACCAACUCUGGGAGCUGAUUAGGGAAUAUCACUUCACCCAGACUGGCUGUGUGUUAACACAUAUCUACAGGCCACAUCCGUCCGGCACUGGAGCUCAUUUACCCACAGAUAAAUUUGACUGACAAAAGGUCAUGAGAGCUGACCACAGACGUCUUGGAGAGCUAGGACUGGGUUAGCUGUCUCAAGUUUAACACAAGUCAUAUCACAGAAGUAAUGAACUAAGGAUGGCAGGAAAUUCAAUAAACAUUUCAGACUCUUCAAGCAGAAUCAAGAUCAGCUGCAGAACCCGGUGGACAAGGAUGACCAGGUGGACAAGGACGACUAGGUGGACCAGGGCAACUAUGUGGACCCGGAAAACCAGGUGGACUGGGACAACCAGGUGGAUCAGGACAACCAGCUGUUGCUGAAAACGGUUUCCAUCAAAAGGUAAAUACCAUGUAUGGGUCUUAAUAAAAGCAAUCUUCAUUGUGAGCGUUUAAAAUGUUACUACAUCAUGUAUCUUUAGCCAUAUAAAGCAUGUGUAAAGAUGUAUUAAAACUGAG
ensembl:lncRNA